GGAGGGGAGGGCAAAGACCCGAAACAAUUGGUGGAGCCCGGGCAGUGAAAACAGCUGGAAAGCGAAGACGAAGGAGAGGAAGGAGGGGAAGAAAAGGAGAGUUGAGCAGUGAUUCAGCUGGCAGCCACUGAGACAUCUGAAUCUUCUGCCAUAAAUCUGCAUUCGCAACAAGUGUUUAAUGGCUACCGAGGAGCUGAAAUGGAUCCUACGUAUCUUCCCCAUUGGCCGGGCUUUCCUAUCUUUCCAUCUUGACGGACUUCACUUUUGAUUGGCUCACUAUGUCCUGCAAUCAAAGUAAUGACACCGUACGCAGAUCCAUUUAAAGCUGCGACACGGAUGUGGACUGGUCGUCGACAGCGCCUCGCCGCAAGACCGUAAAUCGAGUUUCAUCACAAGUGAGUUCACUUUUUCACAUGUUAGACUUUUGUGUGUGAAAACAGUAUUCUGCCCGUGUUCCACAUUCAGUUCUGUAGUAUUUUUUACUCAUUAGGCCUGAUGGUGUACAUCUGGAUUUCUCAGCGCUCAGCAAUCAGUUUGUUUCUUUUGGAUUAUCCCCAGUUUAUUCCAGCGUCUGCACCACAAACGUCCCGCCGCCACAUCCAACUUUGUGUCACGGUUCUCCUACUUGGUCAGACUUAGGUAGUAAUAUAAAGAGACACAGUUUAACGCUUUUUCUCAUGCCCGAGUUGAUACUGGACCUGAGUGGAGGCGCUUAGAAAUAAAAUUAGGACACGUGGAUGAUGAGAGCAUCAAAUUUCAGCCUCAACACGUCAACGAGCCCUCAGGAGCAAUGUGGUACCGAAAUGUGUGAAAGUGGCGUGUUUAUUUUUGGAUCCAACGUCUACUACAAAACUAAGGGCUCUAAUAGUCAACGUAAAUGACUGCGGUUACAUUACCUUCGCAAACUCUUCCCCCAAAAGCAGUGAGUGAUGAAAUUUAAAAAACAAACAAUGACCUGUCUGGAUGGAUUAAUAUGUGGACAUUAAUCUAAGUUAGAGGUAGAGUUAUACUACGCUUCUCAGACAGCAUGUUUCGGAAAGUGUUCAUAGAGUUGGACUGUGAACCAAGAUAGCAAUAGCAGUUAGCAUUAGCCAAGGUUUUAGCAGAAACAGCAGUAGCCUGAUUGACUAGCGAUAUCCAUACAUUGUUCUUUCUGUUUAGGUAUGGCGCGAAUGAAGCAGCUACCUUGAUAGUAUCCCACGGUCAAAUUCAGACGAAAAAUAAGUUGUUUCACCUUCUGUGUGAGCCUAGCAUAAUACUGUAUUGCUCAACUAAAGGUUUUUGUCAUAUGGAAAGUAAUAGCACGCCUACACACAAUGAAACGCUUAGUCAAAUGUCAACUCAGCGUAAAUUCAUUUAAAAAAAAUGACACAGUUAUUACGUGCAGUUUGAACGUUUAGCACUUUUGAUUGCAGCUUAGCAUUGCGUCAUCAGAAGUGAGCUAAAGUAGCAUACAGUAAAGUAUGUGUGCCAAAUGUCACCCCAAAUUAAAAUAAAUGUCCAUUUGUUGUGAUAAUCGCACAUAAUCACAUCUCAGUGUCCCCAACUCUAUUUCACAGCUGCAGGAACGACAACACUUUGUGUCAAAUGACUCAAAAUGUGUAAUUAGCCAAUUUGCUGACUACUGCAGAAUCGCCUGCACUUCUUUUUCUCCGCUUGUGACGUCUCAGAGAGGGCAACGGCUUAGGUAAUGUCUCCUCCCGGCAUUGGAAAACUGCACAUAUGACCUUUAAUGCUCAGCGGCAAUUCCCUGACUUUUUGCACACUUCAGCGACGAUGUUUUAUUAUUCGCUUGCCCGUCUAGACUGCGACUAAGGCUGGACAGGAAGCAGAAGGGCAAGCGCUUCCUGCAGUGACCUGCUUUAUGGUUUGGCUUCCCGAGGCCCAACAGAUGGCUGAAGGGGAUUUUUGCAAGACCACUUGAGUGUGUGCGUGUCGCCAUGGGCCUGAUGAGUCAACAAUGGUGUCAUUAAAAUCUGCACUGGAAGGAAGAAUUGAAGUAUUAUUCCGAAAAACUCAUCAGCAAGUCUACUCAAUUCAUCCGACCUGCGACAUUACUCAGAUUGGUUGGUAUGCUAAUAAUGUUUAUGGACUUGUUUUUGCUCUCAAUCCCCGCUGCACCUGAAAGUUGAAACCAGAGGUUUCCCAAGUCAGGCUUACUGUGACUACAGCCAAAUUAGCU